GUCUUUUCGAAAUAACAUCAAAAAUGUGGUGCACAUUUUAAAAUAACCCGCUACGCGAGUUGUUCAGUGUGCACCACAUUUUUUAUGUUAUUUCUUCAUAGACAGAAAAAAUAUUACAGUCAUUCCUUAAAUGAAUGUGCACCUAGUCUUAAAAGCCAAGUGAGCCUAUGUCAUUAUGUUAUAUGUCGUCCGUCCGUUCGUUGGUCAUUCUACC
rnacentral:lncRNA from 1 species